rnacentral:rRNA from 1 species
GACGAACGCUGGCGGCGUGCUUAACACAUGCAAGUCGAACGGAAAGGCCCUGCUUUUGUGGGGUGCCCGAGUGGCGAACGGGUGAGUAACACGUGAGUAACCUGCCCUUGACUUUGGGAUAACUUCAGGAAACUGGGGCUAAUACCGGAUAGGAGCUCCUGCUGCAUGGUGGGGGUUGGAAAGUUUCGGCGGUUGGGGAUGGACUCGCGGCUUAUCAGCUUGUUGGUGGGGUAGUGGCUUACCAAGGCUUUGACGGGUAGCCGGCCUGAGAGGGUGACCGGCCACAUUGGGACUGAGAUACGGCCCAGACUCCUACGGGAGGCAGGAGUGGGGAAUAUUGCACAAUGGGCGGAAGCCUGAUGCAGCAACGCCGCGUGCGGGAUGACGGCCUUCGGGUUGUAAACCGCUUUCGCCUGUGACGAAGCGUGAGUGACGGUAAUGGGUAAAGAAGCACCGGCUAACUACGUG